CAUGCCGCAGUGCAAGUUCUUCACGCUGCAACAUAUUUUGGCUUAUAUGCACAUUCUAUUCGUUGCGACGCUACAUCACAAGUUCCCAUGCCAUGGAAUAUUUCGACGUGAGAUGCACAGUGAAAUCGUUGUGGCACUACGUCUUGACUUAACGCAAAAAUUCAUUUCACACUGCUGCACAAAGUUUCGCGUCGUGCUGCAUUUCGGCAUUUUGCAACUUGCAAUGAAAAUCCAUGUCAUGCCGCGUCACAAAAUGUUGCAUCGUGAUGCAUUUUGAACAUUAUUCAAAACAGCGCCUAGAAAAACCAUGUCACGCCAUGGCGCAAAAGCUCAUGCUACGGCAGAACUAGUUUUCUAUAUAAGAAAACUAAUUUUUUUUCUCAUUUCAGUUCCAUUUUUUUUUUUUUUUGGACUGCGGUGCCAUUUCGACUCUCCCUCUCUCAAAUCUUUAUUGUUCUUCAAUUAUUUGAUGAAUUGAUGUUGUUAAAUCCUUCCCUACACCUUGUAAACACUCAUUUACACUUGAUUUUGCAGAAAUCCACCAAUUGACACUAAGGAGAAGUUAGGGUUGAAUUGGGGCUCUUCAAUUUGGAUAAAAAAUUCAGCAAUCCAAGGCUUCCAGACCUCUCAAUUGUGUUAAAAUUCAGGUGCAGAAUUGAUGAUUCGUACGUGUGCUAAUGUUCGAACCAUCAAGACUCGUUAGAGUGCGAAUGAAUCAAGACAUGAAGAAAGAAAAUUGGAACUUCAAAGUUGUGCUGCGGCAUAGAUUUACGGUGCCACGACACAAAUCGGGGAAACCCAUCGCGCACUGCAACGUGAUUCAUCGCACCAUGGCGCCAUUCGAGCAGAAUGAAAAAUAUGCAAUUUCCAACCCUAAUUUGCCUUUCCAAUUAUUAAAAAAAAUGCCCUUGUAAAAAACUAUAAAAGGGCAACUUAUUUCGUUUUUUAGGUAUUCUAACUUUGUAAACGUUUGGGCUAACUUGGAGAUGGGGUUUUUGAUAGGCAAGGAAUAAAACUUUGAUUUUUGUUGUGGAUUUA